GACGAACGCUGGCGGCGUGCCUAAUACAUGCAAGUCGAGCGGACAGAUGGGAGCUUGCUCCCUGAUGUUAGCGGCGGACGGGUGAGUAACACGUGGGUAACCUGCCUGUAAGACUGGGAUAACUCCGGGAAACCGGGGCUAAUACCGGAUGGUUGUUUGAACCGCAUGGUUCAAACAUAAAAGGUGGCUUCGGCUACCACUUACAGAUGGACCCGCGGCGCAUUAGCUAGUUGGUGAGGUAAYGGCUCACCAAGGCRACGAUGCGUAGCCGACCUGAGAGGGUGAUCGGCCACACUGGGACUGAGACACGGCCCAGACUCCUACGGGAGGCAGCAGUAGGGAAUCUUCCGCAAUGGACGAAAGUCUGACGGAGCAACGCCGCGUGAGUGAUGAAGGUUUUCGGAUCGUAAAGCUCUGUUGUUAGGGAAGAACAAGUACCGUUCGAAUAGGGCGKACCU
rnacentral:rRNA from 1 species